UUAUAACCGGCGAUUUCCGAAUGGGGAAACCCAGUGUGAUUCGUCACACUAUCAUUAACUGAAUCCAUAGGUUAAUGAGGCGAACCGGGGGAACUGAAACAUCUAAGUACCCCGAGGAAAAGAAAUCAACCGAGAUUCCCCCAGUAGCGGCGAGCGAACGGGGAGGAGCCCAGAGCCUGAAUCAGCAUGUGUGUUAGUGGAAGCGUCUGGAAAGGCGCGCGAUACAGGGUGACAGCCCCGUACACAAAAGCGCAUGUGCUGUGAGCUCGAUGAGUAGGGCGGGACACGUGGUAUCCUGUCUGAAUAUGGGGGGACCAUCCUCCAAGGCUAAAUACUCCUGACUGACCGAUAGUGAACCAGUACCGUGAGGGAAAGGCGAAAAGAACCCCGGCGAGGGGAGUGAAAAAGAACCUGAAACCGUGUACGUACAAGCAGUGGGAGCACAGGUUUACCUGUGUGACUGCGUACCUUUUGUAUAAUGGGUCAGCGACUUAUAUUCUGUAGCAAG
rnacentral:rRNA from 1 species